rnacentral:lncRNA from 1 species
AGCUCGUUGACAUGAUCCAAAAUUCAAAAGUCAAAGAAAGGGCAGUAAACAAUACCAUGGGUGGAACUUCAAAACGAGAUCCAGGUAAAUAGGGUAAGUGCUUUUGGAUUCUUGACACGGGUGCCACUGAUCACGUAGCUUGUUCUAUUUCUUUCUUCAUAAGCUAUCACAAAAUAAAACCAGUAAGGGUUAAGCUACCUAACAACCAAUAUGUGUGCUACUCAUGCUGGAACUGUUUUCCUUUCCAAAAACAUUACUCUGCAUAAUGUCAUGUAUAUUCUAGAUUUUACUCUAAAUAUCAUAUCUGUUUAACGCCUUAUAUCUUCUUUAAAAUGUCAACUUGUCUUUACUCACAAUACUUGUCAAAUUCAGGAGAAGAAUUCCUUGAGGAUGAUUGGUCAAGCUGAAAUUCAAAAUGGGCUCUAUCAUUUGUAUGCUGAUGAAGGACAUAAUUCUGUUUACACUUUACAUGUUGACUCUUUUGAUAUUGUACACAAUCUGGAUGUUUGGCAUUGUAGAAUGGGUCAUCCUUCAAAUAGAAUAUUAGAUUGUUUAGCUGAACAAUAUUAUGAUAUACAUUACAAUGAUAUGAAUAUUUGUGCUCCUUGUCA